GAUGAAGGGAGAGCGGCUGUGAGCAGUGCUCACAUCUACGGGCUCUCACGGAGUGUUUCACUUGAAGCAUGGAUCGUUUCAACGGCCGUGUACGUGCUGCCUUGACAGAUGCUGUGCAUCGCUACCGUACGAUGUGCCAGAAAAUCCGGAUGAUGAGGACCAGGGACAAACUCGCGCGUGGACGCUCCGCAGAGGAGGCAAUCGCGUUUGAAGAAAAAGGGAUGGCGAUGAUGCACUUGAAUCGGAGUUUUGUCUGCUGGAAAAUACAGCGUAUGGGACGUGUGAUAUCAGCGGUCUCGAGUCACGGAAAAGUGAGAGCGGAAAGGCAGCCUCCGUAGGAGCCGUGCUCUCUCGAUCGGGGAACACCCAACUUGUCCGUCUUCAGUUUCGGGCUCCGACUCGAUGGGGUACAAGAGGGCAUCACACGCCAAAGCAACGAAGCAUGCGCUGCGUUCAGCCGUAGCCGCAGGUUCCGCUCCUGCCCCGUUCACGUUUCACCGCUUCUGACGACGCUUAUAAAGUCACGGGGGUGGUAUCGAGCUGUGUUCUGCAUAUAAUUUUCAAGACAAGGCGCCCGAUUCCAAGUGCUCGGUGUCCAGACACCCGCCAUAUGAGUCAACGUGCAUGCUGGUCGAUGUCAUCAUCGGAUAUGUGCUCAAUGAACUUUCCUAUUUAGGUAGCUCGCAAACUCGACGGACGCAGCCCUUCAUGCAUUCAGAGUAUACGCAAUCCCAAGCGCCCAUCCCUUCUGUAAGGACCAAGUUUACGGCGAGGACGCCAAAACGUUGCAGGAAAUGCACGUGAACGGCUCCCGGUAUAGGUGUGUACUGGACUCGUUGGAACGGAGCCGCUCGAACUGCCACAUAUCGUCUGCGAAAGUGAAACCGAAACACCGACUAGGUAUGAGUCAGCGAUAUCUGAGGCGGCUUUGACACACGUAAGCCGCCUACGCAGCGCACGUCGCACUGUUGUGUUCGGGAUGAAACUUCCCCAGCUGGGCUGGGUGGCACUCAGAGAGCCACCCAGUCUCGUUUACGCUAUGAAUAUAGAAUUGGUAUCGGCGGGAUCCGUAUUCGUGCCUUCUAGAAGAGGCUGCGAAGCGGGUACGGCACCGGCGCAGGAAUGGAGCGCAUGCUUUUCCGCAUAUCGCGGAAUAAAGCGAAACGGGUCCAUUUUGCACACGCAGGCUGAACGAUAGUCUUUCAAGUGAAUCUCGUUUCAUUCCCAGUUGCUGUGUAUAUUCGGCGGUCGAAACAAAUAUGAAAUGAACACCAUGGAUCGUUGACGAAUUGCCUGAAGGAUAUCUACACAUCUUUACUGAACAAUGCAAAGAGGGCUGCAUUCCUCCUUCGGAUUCGUCACACCACAGUACUCUGAUGGUUGACGAGCACAGAAAGAAACAAGUAGAUGCGCUGCAUGCCAAAACCCGGUAUUCACAAAGACUGUUUGCGGUCAAUGGGAGACAACGACCUGUUGUUCACCUUACGGGAGAUGAAAGCGACAAUAGUAGCCACCAUGGGCGUCUCUGUUUCUCGACAGCUCAUUCGUAUGGUCUCGAAAACACUGGGAUACAAUCGCAAAAAAAGAGUCCUUGUUCAACCACGGCCAUUUUCCACCGAAAUCGCAACCACAACAAAGAUCCUGAAAAGUCACUACCGGUAUGAAGCAGAGGGACGUGGGUUUGUUUUUUUUCCAGUCGGUGAAACUUCCUUCGGACGAAACGAUCGGUGCGUAUAUGGGUAUUCAGGGGCGAUGGGCGCCCGGUCUACGUACGAUCGAAGUCGAAGAGAACGAGGAUAACAUC